AGUGAGCGCUGGCGGUAGGCCUAACACAUGCAAGUCGAACGGCAGCACAGUAAGAGCUUGCUCUUACGGGUGGCGAGUGGCGUACGGGUGAGGAAUACAUCGGAAUCUACUUUUUCGUGGGGGAUAACGUAGGUAAACUUACGCUAAUACCGCAUACGACCUACGGGUGAAAGCAGGGGAUCUUCGGACCUUGCGCGAUUGAAUGAGCCGAUGUCGGAUUAGCUAGUUGGCGGGGUAAAGGCCCACCAAGGCGACGAUCCGUAGCUGGUCUGAGAGGAUGAUCAGCAACACUGGAACUGAGAAACGGUCCAGACUCCUACGGGAGGCAGCAGUGGGGAAUAUUGGACAAUGGGCGCAAGCCUGAUCCAGCCAUACCGCGUGGGUGAAGAAGGCCUUCGGGUUGUAAAGCCCUUUUGUUGGGAAAGAAAAGCAGCAGGUUAAUACCCCGCUGUUCUGACGGUACCCAAAGAAUAAGCAACGGCUAACUUCGUG
rnacentral:rRNA from 1 species